rnacentral:lncRNA from 1 species
GAAGACCUUGUGUGGUCUGUAUUGCAGGUGUGAAAUCACUUCAUAUAUCUUGAGCUAGUAAUUGCUGCAUCUGACCACUAUUUUAUAUUGGUUUUGCUUGUUUCAUUCUAGUUUAGUUGAACUUUUUCCAGUUGGCUCCUCUGGUUAUAUGAGCUGAAUGGACCGAAUAAAAGUUUGGUUCGUUGGUUUUUAGUUUGAAUGGGCUAGUCUGGUUUUUAAAAUGACGGUUAAAACCAUAGUAGUCAAUAGCGGCUGAUAGCAACACUAUAGCGGUCGCGCGUAGUGGUGACGAACUGCUACGGUAAUCGCGGUAGCGGCGCGAAACCAAAUAGCGGCCGCUAUUUGAUUUUAGUAGCAAAUUUCUAAAUUGACCCUAUUUGUAAAACCUUUUUGAGGGCAUUUUGGGGAUUCUGUAAACCCUAACAUUGUUUGAUGGUUUUUUUUCUUCAUCUGUUGUAUGGUUUCUCUGUUCUUUUUUUCUUCCUUUGUUUUCUUUUGUUUUAUGGUUUCUCUUGUUUUAUGAUUUUUUUUGUUUGUUCUUCUGUCUUGUUUUUUGUUGUUUGAUUUAUUAUGAAUGUUUCAUGAGAUUUGAGUCUUAUAUUUAAUUUUAUAUUACAUAUAAGUUUUUUUUUUCCUUCAAAAAAGUUUUUUUAGAAAUAUACAAGUUUGUUUAUACUUUAUAGUUUAUUCAUGUAUUUGUCCAAAAAAUAAUCAAAUUUCGGUGACCGCUAUUUGUCAUACCGUGCUAUUUGUCAUACCGCUAUAUGCUAUCCUGCUAUCUUACUUUCGUGGUCGGCCGCUAUGCACUGCUAUCCGGUAUUGACUACUAUGGUUAAAACAACAAUUCAUUAUGAGUUAUUCACUUUUAAUAAACCCGCACAGCUUUGAAAGCAAUUCAAUAGUUCAAUUAGUUCAGUUACAAAUUUAGUCAAACAACCCAAACAAUUUUUGUUAGAAUCUAUAGAUAGUGGAAUUGUGCUUGAUGUAUAAAUCCAAAGCAGUUGUGUUAAAUAGAGGUAAUAUUGGCGCUAUAGCGCUAUUAUUGCCUAGCGGAAUUUCGACAAAUCACUAUUGUUCCGUGAUACGCUAUUUAAUGCAAAAUAUUGUGAAAUAGUGGCUAUAGCGGCCCUACAGCAUUGUUAUGUAGCGGUAUUUGAACAUACCACUAUUUUCCGCUAUCCGCAAUUGACAGCAUUGAUCCAGAGUGAAAGCCGUAUAACCAUACUGGACGGCUAUUAUGUUUGGAUUGAAACUGAAUACCAAACUGAUCUUGUGUGUAGUUAUCUAGUAUAUAUCUAAUGGGUUAUCCGCCUUCCAACCCAUGCUUUGUUUGUUUUCGAGUCCAGCACGGCUUAGCCACAUCUAGUUAAGGGUUGCAUCUGUUGUCGAUCUAGUGUAGGUAGUUGAUCUAUUGUAGGUAGUCAUACCUUGCAUAUCUAAGAGAUUGAUUUUAAGAUUUGAACUUGUGACAUGUCACACAACAUCAACUCAAACCAUUUAUCUAGCAUUGCCAUUUUACUUCCCAUAUAGAAUGUGUGCAUAUUGGAUUGCCCUCUAGGGCCAGUUCAUUGAAUUUAAUUUUUUGGGUACCAUUUUAACAGUCACUAUUCUGUAACUUGAUAUUUCAUCAUUUGAUCACCGGGAAAUGGUAGGUUAUUUAUCAUUGAUCAAUGUGAAAGGCUAGGUUAUAUUUAUAAACAUACUUCUACUUUGUUUAAGUGUAUUGUGUAUGUUUGUAGGCACUUAGUCCACUUAAAUGUCAUGUAAUUAUUUUGUGUUACUUUGCAUUAAACAGCACCAUUUUGUGAUCAAUUAAUUAUUUCCUUAUCUGUCUUCUGAAUGCGUUACUCGUAUAAUGUUCCUAUAAGUACAAGAGGAUCUGAGGACCCAACUGUUGGAUGUUAGUCUUGCUCUUUGUUUAGGUUGUUGGAUACUCUUCAAUCAAAUGUUAACAUGCCACUUUGAGAUUCUUUGGAUUAUGGAAGUUGUUCAAGUAUUUGAAGAUAUGGUGGAUAUGUUAUUUGUUUUUGUCCUCUCCCCUUGGUAUGUAAUGUUCAUUGAAUGCAGUUGGAUUUCUUCAAGAAUGAAACAGGUAAUCUAUUGGAUUAGACCUUUUAAGGUCAUUUGGUGUUUCAAUUGUAACAGCAAAUAUACUUUGUAUAUGACUUGUGACAUUGUGUAUGUAUGAGUGUAUAGUAAAAAAUUUCAAAAUUUAAUGAAGGUUGAAAAUUUUAUUCUCUUGUUUAAAGCAUGGGUUCUUGUGAUUUUAAGAAAGAAGUUUGGAGUGUAUUUGAUGUUUGCAAUAGUGCCAACCUGCCAAGAAUAUUACAAGGUGGUUUACAAUUUUGACCUUAAAUGAUAGUCACUGAUGUUUGUUUAUAAUGUUCCUAUAAGUAAAUGUCUGGAAAUUUUGACCUUAAAUGAACUAAGAACAAGAGGCUCUGAGGAUUCAACUGUUGGAUGCUAGUCUUGCUCUUUGUUUAGGUUGUUGGAUACUCUUCAAAACUAAAUAUCAUAAUAGUCACUGAUGUUUGUUUAUCAGUGAAUCAAACAUGACACUGGAAAAACAGCGGGGUGUGUGGUCUAUUUGUAUCGAAUCCGAUCCUAGUGAAUUCUAAUAGAAUACACCCUCCUUAAUUUAGAUAAAAUGAUAAUUAAAUUCAAGAACUAUAAUGAGAACAAAUAUGGAUAAACGUGAUCACAAUGACGGCAAUGAUAAUUGGCAAUAUAAAUCAAGAUCAAAUGGGAAAUCAACUGAAACACAAAAAAUAGAAAACAAAAUCAGAAAUAGAAAAAAAAAAUAAAAAAAAAGUAAAGGUCCGCUUGAGGAAUCGAGGGAUUAGUAGACAUCUUUGAAGAAGAACAAGAAGAAGUGCGAAGGAGUGAUGGAGGAACUCGGUUUGAAAAGGAGUAAUGGAUUAGAGAGCUUUGGCAGUAUUUGCGAAGGGUUUUGGUUUUUACUGCAAAGAAAAGGUGGAAGGAAGAAGGAUUGUAUUUCAAAACGUUCGCCUGAGAGAUGAUAAAUCUUGCUUCAAUAAAACUGCUUUGGUACUAAAUAUUUAGUUAUUUGUGCUUUCGAGUAUCCCUCGCUGAACAUUUUAAACGCUUUCUCUGCUUUAAUGGAAGACAAUCGUAAUCGCUUUUAUGGAUGAUGGGUUAUCUACCAUUCAAUCUUUGUGUUAAUAAUUAUGAUAUCAGAGAAAAUGAGAGAAAAACUUGAAAGAUUUUUUUGAAUUGAUAAUGGAAAAAUAUACAACUGAACAUAGUUACAAUUAAGGACAAUUAAAAAUGGAGGAAUCUCAUUUUUGAAAUGCAGAGAUAUGUGAUUCUAAGUUUAGGUAAUGAAAGAAGACACUUAGAGGAGCCCAAAUUUGGUCUCAAAUUUCACAAUAUGUGUAUAAGGUGGGUGGAAUUUCGAUUUCAAGGCGACAAUGUGACUUUUUUAUUAAGAGAAGCAUGACUUUCAAGUUGUGAUUGAGAUAAAAAAUGAUAGAGGAGGAAGACACAAGGAACACAAAUAUGGUGGUGGUGUCGUGCCAUACUCAUUUUGGUCAUAAAAAAAGUAUUUCGACGAUGGUAAACCAGUAAUGGUGAACUGACUAAUUUGAGAGGUUCAAUUCCACUGUCCACUUGUGAGAGAUCUCGUUUAAAGUCAAAGCAAAACUGUAUACAGACUAACCCAUUGAAAUUGACUUUAGGGGAAUCGAACAUGAAAUAUUUAGAGGAGUACCCUCCAAGCAUUUGAGUUUGGCUAAAGCCAAAACUACGUCGUUUUGGUUCAUACUAAAAAAAUGCAAAAAAAUGAGGCUCAAAACAAUGUCACUUUAAUCUUUAUUUUAUUAUUUUAUUUUAAUUAAAAAAGCAUAGGAGAACAAGGAAAACCAGAUAAACCGUCAUUUUUUUUCUUCCGACUUUUAAUAAUUUCAAUCAAACCAUGGGCACCAAAUUAACAUAUCGAUUAUUUUAUAGUUCAAACCGUCUAAAACGUCACCUCAAACUGAAGAAUGAUAAAUCAUGUUUCAAUAAAAAAUGCAUCAAAACUAGAUAAAAAGUACACUUAAUAUUUGUCUAACAUCAUAUAAGACGUUUUAUAUUAUAAGAGUUACGGAAGAAACCGGUAGCAAGACAAAGAUUAAAAAAAUGGAUGAUGUGACUUAAUAUCAUUUAGAGUGUGAUAGAGUGUCUGAUCCUAAUAUACUUUUAGUGGGACAACAAAAUUGUGAAGUGCACUGUUUUAUGACAUGAACAUGUGACCUGCCACAAAUCAUCAACUCGAACCAUUUAGCCAAUGUUGCCAUGUUCAUUAUGUGUGCAUUUUGCAUUGCCUUCUUAUAAGAAAACGUUAGAACAAAUAGAGAAAAACGUGAUUACAAUGAAGCAACAAAUGGCAACAAAUUAAUGAAGAACAAAUGGGAAAACCAGAUAAAAACUAAAUUAAAUUUUGGUCAAACUUUACUUACCUCUAAGACGAGCUUUAGAUUUUCAGUCACUUUUUCCUAAGAAUCGAAAAGUUAACACCAAAAAAACUAAAUUAAAUUUUCUUUGAUGAAAGUUAACACAAUUGAUAAGAAGUUAAUUAACCGUAAGGUUAUGAGUUAAACUUUCACUACCAUCCUACGUGAGGACCCAUAAAUACCUUUGUAAGUUCGUUGGAUUGACCCGGAUGAACCACUUGAACCAUACUCAAAACAAAUAGUUAUAUUCAAAUUUUUUCCGCCUAAUUUCAGUUUAUGAUACAUUUGAGACAUGGAAUAAUUUUAGAAGAUUUAUUUUACACUAACUUUAAAAUUUAGAUAUUUCGUUAAACUUUUGAAUAAAUAUAAAGGAUUUUGCAUGAUGUGAGCUAAGUUUGAAGAAUGGGUAAACUAGGAUUCUUUAAUUUGAACUAAAAUUGAGUACUUCGAUUGGUGAAUUUUGAGUAGUUAUAAAUUUAGUUUAAAAUAAUCCAAUGAAGGAUAAAUUUAGGUUCAUUUUUCUAUAUACUGUGUAUGUGUUAUGCUUCACUUUUUUUUUGUCAGGUGUUAUGCUUCACUUUUUUUUUUGGUCAGGUGUUAUGCUUCACUUUUCUUUUAAGGAUAAUAAACUUUUAGUUAUUUAUGCAUUUUAGUAAAUUAAAGAUACUUAAGUGCAUAAAUAUGCAUUUCAAGAAAAAUGGCAAUAACUAAUAAAUAAAUGCAUUUUUACCCUUAAAUAAUUUAAUGACUUAAUACAUGCUUUGGUACCUUAACUUAUUUUCGGAUUUCAUUUUGAUUUCCUAACUAUAAAGUGUCUCAAUUUGGUCCCUUAUGUCUUUUUCCAUUACCUUUUUUGGUCCUAUCCGUUACAUUUUAACUGUUUGAUCUAUUUUUCAAAUAGAAACCGUUGGAUCAUGUAGGUUUAUUGUAGCCUACGAUGAAUGAUUAAAACCCGAUUUUUUUGAAGCCAAAAAUAUGUAAAAAAAUAUGAAGAAAAAAAUAUUCCAGAUUUUUUUUCAGAAUUUUUAUAAAAUCAUUUUCAAAAUUAAAAAAAUUAAUUUUUUUACAAAUUUUUUAAAAAAGAUCAGAUUUUUUUUUGAGAAAAAUUUAAUUUUUAAAAAUCUGGAAAAAUAUAUAAAAAAAAUUCAGAUUUUAAAAUAAGAAAAAAAAAUAUUCCAGAAUUUUUAUAAAAUCUUUUCCAUGAUUUAAAAAUUUGAUUUUUUUACGAAAUUUCAAAAAAAGGUCAGAUUUUUUUUUUCUACAAAAUUAUGGAAAAUAUUUUAAUUUAAAAAAUCCAGAAUUCUGAAUUUUAAAAAGAUUAUAAAAAAGGUCAUAUUUUUAAUUUUUUUUACAAAAUUCUGGAACAUAUUUUAAUUUUGAAAAAUAUAUUAAAAAAAUUAAGAUUUUUAUAAAAUAUGAAAAUAAAAUUAUUCCUGAAUUUUAUAAAAUCUUUUUCAAAAUUUGAAAAAAAAAAAAUUAAAAAAAAAGGUCAGAUUUGUUUUUAAAUUUUUUUUCUACAAAAUUCUGAAAAAUAUUUUAAUUUUUAAAAAUCUGGAUACAAAUUAUUUUAAAAAUAUAUAAAAAGAUGAAGAUUGAUGGUGAUGUUAAAUUUAUAUUUUUAGAAAAAUCAAGAAAAAUAUAAAUGAUUAUAUGUUGUGAGCCCAUUGUAUACUUGUGUAAUUUUCAAAUUUAGUCAUUGAUCACCAAUCUUAAAUGACAUGCGGACAAGGGUUAACUAUUUUUGAAAACAAACUAACGGAGAGGACCAAAAGAGGUAACGGCAGAAGACAUAACAAACUAAAUUGAGACAUUUUAUAGUUAGGGGACCAAAAUGAAAUUUGAAAAUAAAUUAAGGGACCAAAGCAUGUAUUAAGCCUAAUUUAAUUUGUAACGAUUUUGUAUAAAAUAUGAUAAUUUGAGACUUAAAAUAUUUUUUUUAGAUAUCAAUGAUUAAUUACACAUGAAUAGAAGACAUACAGACAACAAGCUACGCCACUAACCUUUUUGGAUAGCAAAACCAAUUAUCGUAAACACAACAUUCAUAGACCUAGGAGUCAUGACCCUUUAAACUUUACGUAGAAGGUCAACAACCUCUAGUGCUAGGAAGCCAAACAUGUCACAAACAAAUGAUAUAAAAUCAUGUUGAUUGUCGGAACAUGCUUUCUCAUGUUUGACUAUUUUGCUUGACGUAACUUUUAGGACUGUCUAUCCUACCGUAAAUGCCUCAUCCCCUAACCUCACAAGUGGUGAAACCCCGAUGAAAUCCACACAUACAUAUUUUCCUCCUAAAGAGAUUUAUGUAGAAAGACCUUAGAGACUAACAAAAAAAGAUACGAUUGGCCAUUUUAUUAAUAUUUUUUACAAUCACAAAUGUUAACAAAUGUUAAUGUUAUGCUGCAGGUAAUAACAAAUCUUUAACCUCGUUAUUAUAUGACUCCUUAAUUCUUAAUAACUUUACUCCCUUAAUCAUCAAACCAAUUUUGUAUGUCCUUGUCACUCCUUUAUUCCAUUUAAUUAUAAUGAUAUGGUUGUAUACUGAAACAAAUAAUAAAUCAAUAUCUGUUUUGACCAUGUCCCAUCACAUGUGAAUGAAGUCCAAUUCUGUCCUAUGACCCUUUUUAGGAAAGAAAGAAUAUUUCUGAUUAUGGACAUCUUAGUGGAGUUGGAUGAACACCAUUAAAAUAUCAAUUUUAGAACAUAGAGCUAGUACGGCAGGUGUAAUCUCUUAACAAAAGAUAAUAUAUAUUAACAAAGCUUUUCGUAAUAAAAGAACAAUAUUUUUUGUGUUUUCAAGGAAAGGUAAAUUAUUUCAAACAAAUGGAUUUGUUUGUUUUGAUUAGGUAUAAAAUUAUAGUUUAUGGAUGUGGGUCUUUUAAUUAAUUUAUGCACCACACUAUAUGUAGCAUAUGGAUGAAUCAUGCUAUAAAUAGCCAUUAUUCUUCUAUUCAAAGUACACCAUCAAUUCUAUUCUAUCCCUUUAAACUCCUUUCAAGUAUUAAGGUUCAAACUAAUAUUUUCUCUUAGGAAAAAUGACAAAGUCAACUUAUGUUGAACUUGGUGAAGAAAAAACAUCCAACCAAAAGGGAAACAUGAAAAGAGGAGUGUCUAUACUUGAUUUUAUAUUAAGGUUGAUAGCAAUUGUAGCUACCUUAGCAAGUGCAAUUGCAAUGGGAACUACAGAUGAGUCACUUCCAUUCUUUACUCAGUUUGUUAGGUUUAGGGCCAAUUAUGAUGAUCUUCCAACAUUGAGGUAUAUAUGUAUUUAAUUAAUUUGUUAAUUUUUAUUAUUCAUUUUGUAGUUUAAAUAUGGGUUACUACCUUAACCUUUUUUUUGUUGACAAUAUAGACAAUGAAGUUUGAAUACUGGACCUCAUGAAUACUAUCCAAAUUCUUCACUAAACCAAUUUUAGUAGCUAUUAACCUUGAUUUCUUAUAAUAAGGUUAUCUUAUCUUUAGUAGCUGUCAAUAUCAAUAUUGGUUUUGUCUAAAUAUAUCAAUUUUAGUAAAUGAUUUGUUUUUUUUUUUUUUUUUUUUUUUUUUAUUUUUUUUAUAAAUCUUCCUCAUAAAAUUUAUCUUAAACCUCAAUAUGUGUUGGGCCAUAAAAUAUAGAUAGAUAUCUAGGUGUUACAUUUUCAUGAAAAAAGAUUUAGCGGCACAACUUGUUGCUCGUCUGCCUUUCACUUAUGUGUAAUUUUUUCUAUAUAUAAAUAACAAAAAAAUAUAUAUGUAGAAAAAUAAUGAAUUUGACUCAUAAAAGAAAGUAAAGUAGAACAAUAAAAAAAAGAGUAAAGUAUAAAAUGAAAAAAAAUAAAAUUAAGAGUUGUUAUUUUAAUACAUUUUAUGAUUUAUCAUGAUGUACUUCUAAUAUUCACCUUUUGAUUUUUUUUUUUAAAGGAUAUUCACCUUUUGAUAGUGUGUGCUGCUAACCAAAUUGAGAUAGACUUGCAAAUAGUGAUACCCUUUACACUAUUUUUGCUUAAAAACAUUUCCACCCUUGAUUGAUUUAUUUUUUUAAUGAUAAAUAUUAGUAUGUUAAUAUUAUUAUGUUACUAAUAUAAUUAUUUUAAUCUCUUAGUUCAACCAAGUAAGUUACACAUCCCCUCUCGACUAACCAUGGUUGACAAUGCUUAGAGUAGAGGAAUAAGAUAUAAAUUAAUAUGCUAAACUAAUCUCUUUUUCUUGGUCUUUGAAAUUAAAUACAGGUUUUUUGUAGUUGCUAGUGCUAUUGUGAGUGGCUACCUGAUUCUUUCUCUGCCUCUAUCCAUCUUGCAUAUCAUAAGGAGCAGUGCUGGAAUGACUAGGGUUAUAUUCAUAAUCUUGGACACGGUAUUAAUCUGUUAAUGACAAUUUAUUUUUAUAUUAAUAUGUGAAUAAAAAAAUCAUAGUUAAUUAACUCGAUACAUUUUUUACGAGUAAAAAUCAUCCUAAUAUCCGAUUUUUACUACAUUUGUUCACAUUACGCACCAACCACUUGUACUGGACCCAUGAUUAUUGAACUUUAUACCAUAUAUGCUGAUAAGUUACAUAGUCAAAAUAAAGAUUUUUUUUUUAAUGAGAAUUGAAGUUGUACACAUAGUUAACUAACUGGAUACAUUUUUUACGAGUAAAAAUCAUCGUAAUAUUCGAUUUUUAUGACAUUUGUUCACAUUGCGCACCAACCACUUGCACUGGACCGUGAUUAAUAAACUUUAUACCAUAUAUAUGCAGGUAAUGCUAGGUUUAUUGACAGCUGGUUCUUCAGCUGCAGCUUCUAUUGUUUAUUUGGCACACAAAGGGAAUAGGAAAGCAAAUUGGUUUGCUUUUUGUCAGCAAUAUAACUCUUUCUGUGAGAGAAUUUCUGGUUCAUUGAUUGGAUCCUUCAUUGCAAUUCCUCUCUUCAUAAUGCUAAUCCUUUUGUCUGCUCUUGUUCUAUCAAGACGUUAAACCAUUCUAUACUCUUUGUACCAUCAAUGUAACUUCAUUUUAAUUUGUACUCAUUGAAGAAAAAUGUGUGAGUGUGAGUGUGUUAUGUUUAUCUCUAUGUUUGAUAUUCAAUGUUUGUAUCAUUGUAUUGACUUUUUAUUCACAAGCUCCUUAUCUUAAUUUUCCAUGCUAGUUUUUAUACAAUUACUUAUAUUUCAUUGAAUUGGAAAAGACAAGUGAAUAUUUGUGGCAUUGUUAUUAUAGAAGUAAAUAUUUUUCUUUAAUUGGGAAGGUUCUAUGGUAGAUCAUCUUGACAGGUGGGUCCACAAUAGACUAACACUUAGAAAUCACCUGAAAUUCUAACGAUAGUCAACGAUACUUCUAAGCUAUGAAGCCUGGAUACAUGAUACGAUACGACAUCAAUACGAAAAAAAUUCAAAAUUCAAGAUACGAUACGGCCAGGAUACUUUAAUAUAAAAUUAAAUUUAAACUAUAAAUUAAAACUCAAAAUAUAAACUAUCUAUUAAAACUCAAAAGCAACAAAAAAGAGACGUAAAACCUAGUCCCACAUGGUGACCAAACAAACAUAAAACAACAACGAGACACAACAAUGAAUUUGCAUUCACAUGACAAUUAACAACAAUAACGUUCUCAAAACAACAAAAAGAGACAACAUUCCGUGGACAAUAACAAAAUAUAAAUACAAGUAAUAUUGAUAAUAAAAAAGUGACAAUUACAUCCUUCAAAAAAAAAAAAAAGUGACAAUUACUCAAUAUAUGAUAUAUCUGAAAAUGAGUAUGUUAUUGCUUAGUCAAUUAUAUAUAUCCCAAAAAUAGAACAUUUUUACCGUCAUACUAUGUCCCAAAAAGAACUGAUAUUCGGUACUUAAGUGUUAUUUGAGUUAACACUAUUCUUUGCUCUUUUCCUUUUAAGAAACAACAUUAAAAAAAAAAAAUAGAAAAAUCAUGUACCCUGUGCAUAUCGUUUUUCCACCACUAUAUCCCUCAUAUAUAUUCGAAGUAUCAGACAAUUGUUUUUUUUUAAAAAAUAAAACUUAAUUGUCGGGUACUCUCCAGAUACGUAUCGGGGUGUAUCAGGCAGAUAUCGCUGCAUGAUAUGUAUCUGAUACAGUAUGUCAUCAAUUUUGAAAUAUAUGUGCUUCACAGCUUCUAAGAGAUAGAAGUUCAUGAUCUUUCUCAUCCUUAUGACUAAAGUUGUGACUCGUCUGGUGUCAUUUCGACAAAAAAAACAAACAAACAUAUGAGUUGAGUUUUGAGAUACACAUUUUCCGUAUUUUUGUCAAACUGACACCAAUCAAGUUACCGUUUUAACCAAGAGAAAAAAGACAACCAUGAACUUCAAUUUCCGAAAGACAACAUCCAUUUUAUUAGAGUUUCAGACGAUUUUUAAAUACCGAUCAACAUUGAACAGCCUAUCAAAGUGAUCCAUGGUUGAAUUUGCCUUUUCUUUGGAGCCGAUUUAAUAUUAGAUUUAAAUCAUUGUGAUAAUUGGUUACUCCCAAGAUAUACAUACAGUUUUAAACAAUUCAGCUAUUUUUCAUUCCAAUUAUAUAACCUUCAAGAACUCCAAUUGAUGAGUAAAAUUGAAUAAAAUACUAUGAACGAGUAGCUUAUUUUAUCUUGUGGAACACUUUAAUGAAUUCAGUAAGGACAGUUAAAAACAGUUCUCCAAUUUGAGUUUCUAGCUAUAUGAAUGCAGUUAGGCAAUAUUGACUGCAAUUGGCUACCAUCUACACACUAUAGUUUUGGCUAAUGUUUUAAAUCACAAUUCAAAAAAUCACAAUUGAAACUACACUACAAUAUCAAGGUUACAGAGAUCUCUGAUGUUACAAUGUGGCUGCAAUUACAUCAGAAUUAUCUGUAUGUAAUUAUUUGCAAUGUUUGUGAUUUUUCUGCAACUUCAAAAUUGUGACAUUGUAAUUGCCACUACAACCACAAUUAAAAAAACAUGGUUGCAAUGCAACAGCAACCGAUAUUCAUCAGUUACACGCUUCAACAAAGCUAGAGCCGCGAAUUUUCGUCACACCGCUAUCAUCCAUUAACUUCCUUACCUUCUCAGCCCCAUCCCACUCACCUCGCGAAGCAUAUAAGUUUGACAUUAGAACAUAGUCACCACUGUGGUCUUUUCUCAUACUAAACAGCUUCUCAUUAGCCACUUUUGCCAACUCCACAUCUCCAUGAACCUUACAAGCUGCAAGCAGAGUCCUCCAAAUAAUUGCAUUAGGUUCAAUUUUCAUAGAAUCGAUGAAUUUAGCCGCUUCUUUUAAAAGUCCGGCGCGUCCUAGCAUGUCUACCAUACACCCACAAUGCCUAAUGUUUGGCUCAAUCUUAUACUCACUACUCAUAAGAUCAAAAUAUUUAUAACCCUCGUCAAUUUCCCCCGCAUGACUACAAGCUACCAAAACACCAACAAAUGUGAUUUCAUUUGGACAAAUCUUAGUCCUCUGCAUCAUCUUAAAAAGACUAAGCGAUUCCUUACCAUGUCCAUGUAAUGCCAUCCCAACAAUGACCGAGUUCCACGAGAUCACAUCUUUAUCUGUUAUCGACCAAAACACAUCAAGUGAUUCUUUAAUGUUACCACAUUUGGCAUACAUAUCAAUAAGAGCAUUCCCUAACAAUGUACUCAACUUUCCCAUACUAAUCUCCAUGACCUUAGCAUGUACUUUUUUCCCAUUUUCUAAAUCCCCUAAAUCAGCACAAGCAGACAACAAACUCAACAGCGUCACCUCAUCUGGGAAAACCCCGGCUCUACACAUCUCAUUAAACAACUCCAACGCCUGUUUGCUCAAUCCACAAACAACAUAACCCGCAAUCAUCGCGUUCCAACUAACAACAUCCUUAACUGGGGCCUCGUCAAAAAGCAUCCUUGCACUCUCCAUUUCCCCUUGCUUAACAUACCCAGUAAUCAUCACAUUCCACGAAACCAAAUCUCUCUCAGGCAUUUCAUUAAACAGUUUCCGCGCAACUUUCAAAUCCCCACGUCUCGCGUAACCAGCAAUGAGUGAAGACCAAGCAACCACAUCACCCUUACAGGAAUCAUCAAAAAGUGAAGUUGCAACGUUCAAGUCACCACAUUUAGCAUGAAAAACCAAAAGGGUAUUCCUCACAACCGCAUUUGAACCAAACCCAAGUCUCAAAACCAUUCCAUGAACCGCCGAACCAGUGUUAACCCAAAAAAGCCUAGUACACGCCUUAAGAACAAACGGAAAAGUGUAGCUAUCACCCUUAACAAAAUGUCGAUGCAUUUCCGUAUACAACGAAAUAGCUCGUAAAGGAUUAGGGCUCUGAGAUGAACCUCGAAUCAUGACAUUAUACAUAAAUGUGUCUGGUUGGGGAAUUUGAGCAAACAGUUGGUGUGCAUAGUUUGUGACGGUUGGAGUUGCAGUGGGACCCACAAGUGAGGUUGAGAUUGUUAAGACGAGAUCUCCGAGGAAGUUAACGUUGUUGUUGAAACCGUUGAUGAUCAUCAAAGCAUGGAUUUGUUUGAGGGUUUUAAGGUUGGGAAGUGUGGGUUUGAAGCCUAUUCUUUUUCUGAACAUAUUGCUGCCAAACUUUGAUUCACAUUAGUGUUAUUUAAAUGUAGUAUUCUACACUUUUUAAGAAUGGUAUAUUUGAAAUUUAUAUGCUUCUUUCUCUUAAAAAUAUACUCCCUCCGUUUCAAAAUACAUGUCUAUUUUAAAGAAAUUUUUUGUUUCAAAAUACAUGUCCAUUUCAUAGUUUAAGGAUACAUUUUGUCUAUUUUACCCUUGUCUACCAAUUAAUUGGAUUCUAGAUUUUCUCCACAAUAAUUAUUUUCCACUAAUAAAUGUUGACCCAAUUUUAAGUAGAUUUACUCAUGCACUCUUCCAAAAAAUUAUUUUCCAAUGACUACUGCACUUUAAUUCAUCGUAACUAACUACUCCUAAUUAAUUGGACUCUCUAAUUUGUUUAUAAAAAUUGAGUUUUUAUAAUUAAAACUACCGAAAAAAAAUGAAAAACAAAUUUUAAUUUAACUUUGGUGGGAAACAUUUUAAGAUUAGAGUAUAAAUUUUGGAGGAAAGUUUUUCAAUUGAGUUUAAAAAAAAAUUGAUAACCGAAGCAUGAUAAGAGAAGUUGAAAAAAAAUUAUAUUGGCAUGCUAUUUUCAAUACAUAACCGCAGCAAAAACAAUGUGAUUUACUAGAUGAACCAUAUGUAUUGGUAUUGCCAGUAUGUAUUGGUAUUGAAGGAUGAUUGAAUUUAAUUAAUUUUGGUAUUGGUAUUGGGAGUAAUUAUGAGAUGGGGUAAAUAAAUGUAAAAUGGAGGAAAUCAAAGACAAGGGUAUAAUAGGAACUUUUGUGUCAAAUUAGCUUGUCCUUGGUUACUGCAAUUUCUCCAAAAUGGACAUGUAUUUUGAAAUGGAGGGAGUAUAAUUAAAUCUAACAAUUUUUCACAAAAAUUUAAAUACUUCAACUAAAUUCUACAAUAUAAAAAAUUAAAACACUUUUUUAAGUAAGACAAAUGAAUUUAAAAAUAUGAUCGGAGUUUGGCUAUUUGAUAAAAUGUGUUUAUCAUAUUCUUGUUAAGAAGAAUGUCAGAGACACUCUCUUUUCAACACUAUCUUCAACACUCAUUCUCUUAUUGAAUAUAAUUAAUGUAUGACUCAUCACUUUAAGUGGAACCUAUUUCUAAAGUGUGAGAUCCACCAUGAUUUAAGCCAAUAAAAAAGUGAGUAUUGGAGAGAGUGUUGAAAAGAAAGUGUUACUAACAUUACUCUUGUUGUUAAAUAAGUUUAAAUCUCAUCCCAAACCCUAACUCAAAUGAUGAAGGUAUUCAAACAUAUUUAUACACUCAAUAGCCCAGGAACCUGAUCCAUGUGGGACAAAUAACAAACUACAAACAACUCCAAAGCCAACUUCAACAAUUCGAAUCCUGCUCUUUACCCAACACAUUUUGCUUGCGCCCAACUAAAAUACUUAAAAUACCCUUGCAUUAGUUAAGUAACGCAAAUGUUAAAAUUUACGCAACUUAAGUCAUGCUGCAUGAGUUAAGUCACGCUGCGUGACUUAACUCACUUUAUUCUAAUUUAUUUAUUUACGUUAUUCUAAUUUAUUUAUUUACUUUAUUCUAAUUUAUUUGUUCACUUUAUUCUAAUUUAUUUGUUUACUUUAUUUUAAUUUACUUAUUUUCUAAUUUAUUUGUUCACUUUAUUCUAAUUUAUUUACUUUAUUCAAAUUAAUUUAUUUACUUUAUUCUAAUUUAUUUGUUCAAUUUAUUCUAAUUUAUUUACUUUAUUUAAAUUAAUAUAUUUACUUUAUUCUAAUUUAUUUGUUCACUUUAUUCUAUUUUAUUUACUUUAUUCAAAUUAAUUUAUUUAUUUACGUUAUUCUAAUUUAUUUAUUCAUAUAAAAUAAAUAUUUAUUCUAAUUUAUUCAUUAAAUCAAUGCAAAUAUAAAUAAAAAGAAAUGAACAAAAUUAAUAUUUAUUCAAAUUUAUUCAUUAAAUAUAAAAUCAGAAAAUAAAAGCAAAUAUAAAUAAAAAGAAAUGAAAAAAAUUAAUACAUAUAACAUCUCAUUUCAUUAAUAGAAUUCAUAGAAUAACUGAUACAUUUGAUUAGAAUUCACUAAAUUUACUUAUUUUCUUUUUACACUCUUGGGGUAAAAAGUGAUGAGCUUUGGGGUAAAUAGUGAGCAGCAUUCUUGGGGAAAAAACAUCAUCAAUCCUUGGGUUAAAUCUAAAUCUGGUUCUUUUUAAACCCUAAGAAGAUUCUUUUUACCCACGGUAAAAAAAAUUUGGGGUAAAAAGAAGCAAAUUUAAUUUUAUCCCAAUGGUUGAUCACUUUCCCAAGUCAGCUACUCACUAUUUAUUUCAAAACUGACCACUUUAUACCUCAAAGGGGUAAAAAGAGACUAGAGAGAGACUAGAGACUAUUGAAAAAAAAGAAGAAGAGAAAUAGGGGGAGAGAGCGAGGAGGAGAGAAUGUGAGAUGGUGUGAGAAAAUGUGGAAGUUUGGAGGGAUAUUUAUAGGUGAGAAUGGUAAUAUAGGUUAUAACUACCAUAAAUGUAGUAAAAAAAAACGUGUAAAGGUUGUAAAAAACGUGUAGAUUGUGUUGGAAAAAAAUGUGUUUAACAUUACCCUUUGAGAGUUUUGAUGAUAACAAGGUAUUAAAAAUUGUCAAUUGAAUAUGCUAAUAUUUGUUCAAGUGUACAUGACCAUAGACAAAAAUUUGAUAUCUUUAGUAGGUUCUGGAAGAACAAAAGAGAGCAAAGGAAUCAACAAAAAGGAAGCUUAAAGCAUAUGAAGAGAAGUGCUCCUGAAGACAAAAGUGCUCCUGAAGUAAUGACGUCAUCAAAAGCAAGUUCAUCAGAAGAUGAAGAUCACCAGAAACUGUAGUUCAUCAGGAGAUGCAAGACUUAAAUCUUCAAAGGCUGUUCAAUGAAUUUAAUCUCAUCUAAACAAUGCAGAAGACUAGAAAAGUGGAGCAACGACUAUUUUGAAAGGAUUUGAAGGCAUUGGAUGCUUGUUCUUUGAAGAGCGUUGACAAAGUACAAUUGUACGAAGUGUACAACCACUAUCUCCACUACUCAGUUUGUGUCUCUGCUACAAGACAAGGAUAACAACUCUGCCUGCAACAAUGAUCCUACAUACAUGGAAUGGAUUUGAAAUUGAUCCUUCAGAGGACAAUAACCAUAUCAGGCAAAAGAUCAUUGGUGAUUGAUCAAAGCUUCAAACGACUCUAUUUUGAUGUGCUGGCAAUGUGACAACAUCUCUUUUCUACACCUCUAUAUAAAGGAGUGAAGACUUAGAGAAUUACAUGACUCAACAACAAUUUGAAAGCGCCUAAACUCUGUCAAAAUUGUUCUGCAUCAAAAGUUCACUUAGAAUUUCUUAUCAAAGUUCAUAUCUUAGAAAUUCUAGAGUCUUACGAGUCUGUAUCUGAUUUGUAUUGUGAACACCACUAAUUGUAUAUCAAGUGUUCAACCUCAAACAUUUUUCUUUGUAAUUCUGUUUGAAUUUGGAAGUCUCUUGCAGUUGUGCUUGAGCAUUAGAAGUCUCUUGACUGUGUUCAGAAGCAUAUGAAGUCUCUUGCAGUUGUGCUUGAGCAUUUGAAGUCUCUUGCUAAGUUUAGCAGUGAGCAAUUGUAAUCAGAUAUUACAUUAUAGUGAACUCUCCUUGAAAGUGCAAGGGGGACAUGACUGACUUCCGGUUUGUGGAAGGAACCUAUAUAAUUGCUUUGUGUCUUUCUUCUUUCUCUCUCUCUCUCUCUCUCUCUCUCUCUCUCUCUCUCUCUCUCUCUCUCUCUCUGUUUUAUCCGCUGCUAUUUAGUUCUGGAAAUCUCUUCAGAAGCAGAACUCUAUUUGCUUCUGAUCAGUGUUUUCAGCUUAGGAGAAACGAAGAAAAAGCUAACACAAUUCAAUCUCCCCUUCUUGUUUUUUUCUUACAUUCAGAUUGAAGGUUGAAAAGCUGACCAAAUUCCAAAAAAUGUGUGUUUUUGAGCUCUGACAAACGACUAACAUGCGUGAGUUUACUCGCGCAGCGGCCAUAGGACUUAAGUCACGCAAAGCUAUAAGGUGCGUGAGUUAAGUCAUGUUGCGUGACUUAACUCACACAGGGAUAUAAUUGACAAAGCAGUUGGGCGCGAGCAAAAUGUGUUGGGAGAAGAGCAGAAUUCCAACAAUUCUAAAUUAAAAUGUCCAACAUGAUUGUUAUUCUAUUUCAUACUUCAUUUGGAACAAAGUCGUGCUCAAAGUUUCGUUAUUUAUUUGGAUAACUCUUAAUAAGAGGAUUCCAACAAAAAAAACUCAAGUACGUUGCAACGUGGUUCCUUUUUGUUCUUUGUUGUGCUUAAGUGGAUGGAGAAAGGAGGAAACCAUUAAUUAUCUUUUUAUGGAAUACAUUUUCUUUGGUAGCAUUUAUUCGUAUGUCAUGCAUUGGUUGGGGAUUUCGUGUAUUCAACUGUCAGAUGUUCGCGUGCAUGCAUUGUAAUUUGGUGGUUCAUAUUGGUUUCAGAAGGAUAUUCGUCAUUGCUUUCACGUGAUCUAGUUUGGUUUAUUUAUGGAUCAUUGGGAAGAAGCAUAACUCAUAGAUUUGUCGUAAUGAGGAGCAAAAUCUCGAUCAAUUACUAGAUCAUAUUAAACUUUUCUCCUGGUGGUGGAUGAAAGAUAAAAAACCACAUUAUCCCAAACUUUCAUGAUGUUGUCAACUAACUCAAUGAACUUCACAUCUUUAAUUUCUUUACUUUUCCAUCCACUUUAACAUCGUUAGAUUUGGCUCUACGGUCUCUAAUGCAUUUAGCUCUAACAUUUUUAAUAAUAUGAAAUUGUAAAAGUAAUGCGGUUGUUUUAGGGAAUACAGUGGCAGUAACACUCAUAAGUGUGAUAUCUCUGUCAGUCACAAUAAGAUUAGUUUCUUUAAAAUGGAUUUAUCUAUAAUAAAAGUAAAUUCCACCUUUGUUGCUUGUCAACGAACUCAAUUAAUUAUAUCAUCUCUAAUUUUCCAUGUAUCUUCGAUAAUAUAUUAAGGCACAAUGUCUACUUUAUUAUCACUUGGUUUUGAUUCAACAGAAUUGUUAACCGCAUUUUCAACCAUAACUAUCAAUAAACAACAAAACAUUGCAAAAAAAAAAAAGAAUUAAUAACUAAUUCAAUCAUUUUAUGCAACAAAUAUUAGGAUGCUACGACUGUUAAACACCCUUGGUCACAUUUGCAGUCAGGGUCGUUCCUGACAAUUUAGAGACCCAGUUGUAAUUUUGACAAUUUUCGUUAAAAAAAUUAUUUAAAAAACCCAACACCACUUAUAUCUAGUGAUAAAUAAUUAAGUUGUGUCCUCGUGAGUAUAGCUCAGUUGGUAGGACAAUGUAUAAUAUAUACAAGGUCCGGGGUUCAAACCCGGCCACCACAAAAAAAAAAAAAAAAAAAAUUGUGUCCCCGUGACCUUAACUCAGUUGGUACGGACAAUGCAUAAUAUAUGCAAGGUCUGGGAUUCGAACCCCGGACAUCACCAAAAAUAAUAAUAAUAAUAAUUAAGUUGUAGUUAAAUAUAUGAGAAUUGGUUCAAACAUGACUUUUAUCUACAGACAAAUAGACAUUUACCUACGAAAAAAAUAAAAUUUAGUGAUAAAUUUUGUCAUAAGUAAAAGUGUUAAUUUUUUUUUAUCCUACACCCCAACAAUUAUACCCUUAUCCCUACAAAUAUUUGAGGCCCCAAAAAUUGGAGGCCUAGCUCCACAAAGGUCCUUGCUCUUGCCAAGUAACGGGCCUGUUGGCAGCUACAUAAGUUAACUAUCGUUACAAGUUCAUGUCAUAACGAACGAAAAUAUGGCAGAGAAAUGCAAUAAUGUAAACCGGUAAAAAGAUACAAUACAUGUUUCUUGACGUCAAAUGAAUAUAGAAACCUUCUAGCAUUCCUUCUUCAAUGAUUUGAGACAGAUUUUGCAAUAACAACAAAAAAGUGAACUUUAGGUUUUUGGAUGGAAGAGAAAAGAAAAUUGGUGAAUGGAUAGUGUAUUGAAAAAGUUUGACAGGAAUGAUAGUUAAUUGUCGUUGCCGUACAACAAACGACAAUUAACUAUUGUAGGAAGUGAACGAUAGUUGAUUGUCAUUGUAUGUAAAUGUUUAAUUUUGUAGGUGUCUGAGAGCAAUAAGAGCAACGAGUCUGAACAUGCCCGAUGAUUAAGUAUUAUCAUACACUUUAGCCAUUACAUAAGAAGAAGAAUAAUUCUCUACAAAAUAUCAUACUCUAUAUCCACAAUUAAGGUUAGUGAGAACAAAAUAUCAAGAAAAAAAAAUCAAAAAAAGUAUAAAUAUGUGGAAAAAAAAUCAUGAUUUCCACAAUGAUAUUUGAAAAAAAAUAAAAUCAAGAACUACUGAGAACAAACAUGAAAAAAGAAUAUGAGUAAACAACAAACACAAAAUAGAAAACAAAAACAGAAACAAAUCAUAAAAAUAUAAAUAGAAAGAAAUAAAAACUCAAUUAAGGAAUCAAGAGACUAGUAUACAUCCUUGAAGAAGAAGAAUAAGAAACGUGAAGGGUGAUGGAGGAGUGGCGUAUGGAAGGAGGAACAAAGGGUUUUGGUGGCAUAUGUGAAGGUAUUUUUAUUUUAUUUUUACCGCAAAGAAAAGAAGGAAGGAAGAAGGGUUGUAUCAUGAAGGGAAAGAAGUAAACAUAGGGAUUUGAGUUUGACUGAAGUCAAAACUAUGUCGUUUUUGAAUCAUUUAAAAAAAUGGAAAAAAAAUAUGAGGCUCAAAACAACACUAUCUUGAUCUUUAUUUUUAACUAAAAAAGCAUAGGAGAACAAAGGAAACCGGAUAAACCGUCACUUUUUCCAGCUUUUAAAUUUGAAUAAAAAUAAUUUGGGCUCUUAAUUUAACAUAUUGGUAACUUUACGGUUCCAACAACUCAAAACGACAGAUCAAACUGAAACAUGAUAAAUCUUGUUUCAAUGAAAGUGCAUAGGAAUUAGAUAUUUUAUUAUUUGUGCUUUCAAGUAUCCUUGACCGAAAAUUUUAUUAGUGUUUCCCGCCUUAAAGGGUCAGGAUCCAUACUGCAUCUUUAGAAAAGUUUAAAGAACACUUAAAUGU